AUUGAACGCUGGCGGCAUGCCUUACACAUGCAAGUCGAACGGUAACGGGCCUUCGGGUGCCGACGAGUGGCGAACGGGUGAGUAAUACAUCGGAACGUGCCCGAUCGUGGGGGAUAACGAGGCGAAAGCUUUGCUAAUACCGCAUACGAUCUACGGAUGAAAGCAGGGGACCGCAAGGCCUUGCGCGGACGGAGCGGCCGAUGGCAGAUUAGGUAGUUGGUGGGAUAAAGGCUUACCAAGCCGACGAUCUGUAGCUGGUCUGAGAGGAUGAUCAGCCACACUGGGACUGAGACACGGCCCAGACUCCUACGGGAGGCAGCAGUGGGGAAUUUUGGACAAUGGGCGCAAGCCUGAUCCAGCCAUGCCGCGUGCAGGAUGAAGGCCUUCGGGUUGUAAACUGCUUUUGUACGGAACGAAAAGCCUUCUUUUAAUACAGGAGGGUCAUGACGGUACCGUAAGAAUAAGCACCGGCUAACUACGUG
rnacentral:rRNA from 1 species